UUUUGGUGAAUCGCUUAAUUCUUGAGCGAUGAGAGGGAAUCAGGUGCAAAUCCUGAACAGACCCGCUGCUGUAAUCCCAUUCUGUAAAGAAUGUAAAUAACUACACCACUGAUUAUGAUCUUAGUAAUCGGGAAGGUAAAGGGAAAGUCAGAAAACCUGCCGAAACAUUA
rnacentral:ncRNA from 1 species